rnacentral:rRNA from 1 species
UACGUAGGGUGCAAGCGUUGUCCGGAUUUAUUGGGCGUAAAGAGCUCGUAGGCGGUUUGUCGCGUCGGAUGUGAAAACCCAGGGCUCAACCCUGGGCCUGCAUUCGAUACGGGCAGACUAGAGUAUGGCAGGGGAGACUGGAAUUCCUGGUCUAGCGGUGAAAUGCGCAGAUAUCAGGAGGAACACCGGUGGCGAAGGCGGGUCUCUGGGCCAAAACUGACGCUGAGGAGCGAAAGCGUGGGGAGCGAACAGG